UGGGGAAUUUUGGACAAUGGGCGCAAGCCUGAUCCAGCAAUGCCGCGUGCAGGAUGAAGGCCUUCGGGUUGUAAACUGCUUUUGUACGGAGCGAAAAGGUCUGCCCUAAUACGGUGGGCUCAUGACGGUACCGUAAGAAUAAGCACCGGCUAACUACGUGCCAGCAGCCGCGGUAAUACGUAGGGUGCGAGCGUUAAUCGGAAUUACUGGGCGUAGAGCGUGCGCAGGCGGUUAUAUAAGACAGAUGUGAAAUCCCCGGGCUCAACCUGGGACCUGCAUUUGUGACUGUAUAGCUAGAGUACGGUAGAGGGGGAUGGAAUUCCACGUGUAGCAGUGAAAUGCGUAGAUAUGCGGAGGAACACCGAUGGCGAAGGCAAUCCCCUGGACCUGUACUGACGCUCAUGCACGAAAGCGUGGGGAGCAAACA
rnacentral:rRNA from 1 species